rnacentral:rRNA from 1 species
AUGUUUGGCACUGCUUUGUGUCCCGAUAACAUUUGGCAAGCUUAUGUAUGGUGCUAUACGUUCUUCCCUGGUGGGGAAAAGUUUUAUACAGCGGGGAUUGCUGCUGUGUGUUGGGCGAUAUGGUCUUGUCGUAAUAGAGUUACCUUCGAGUUCAAACCACUUACAAACCCUUUUGAAUGUGUUUUUUCUGCCUGUGCUCUAAUGUGCUACUGGGCAGGACUGAUGAAGCAAGAUGACGCAGCUACCACGAGGGGCGAGGCAAAGCUGCUGAAGGAGAACGCGUCGAUAAUGAUGAGAAUCUGUGCGGCGAAACAUGAUGAAACGGCAUGCUGA